AUUGAACGCUGGCGGCAGGCCUAACACAUGCAAGUCGAGCGGAUGAAGGGAGCUUGCUCCUGGAUUCAGCGGCGGACGGGUGAGUAAUGCCUAGGAAUCUGCCUGGUAGUGGGGGAUAACGUCCGGAAACGGGCGCUAAUACCGCAUACGUCCUGAGGGAGAAAGUGGGGGAUCUUCGGACCUCACGCUAUCUGAUGAGCCUAGGUCGGAUUAGCUAGUUGGUGGGGUAAAGGCCUACCAAGGCGACGAUCCGUAACUGGUCUGAGAGGAUGAUCAGUCACACUGGAACUGAGACACGGUCCAGACUCCUACGGGAGGCAGCAGUGGGGAAUAUUGGACAAUGGGCGAAAGCCUGAUCCAGCCAUGCCGCGUGUGUGAAGAAGGUCUUCGGAUUGUAAAGCACUUUAAGUUGGGAGGAAGGGCAGUAAGUUAAUACCUUGCUGCUUUGACGUUACCAACAGAAUAAGCACCGGCUAACUUCGUG
rnacentral:rRNA from 1 species